AACGCUGGCGGAAUGCUUUACACAUGCAAGUCGAACGGCAGCACGGGGCAACCUGGUGGCGAGUGGCGAACGGGUGAGUAAUACAUCGGAACGUGCCCAAUCGUGGGGAUAACGUAGCGAAAGUUACGCUAAUACCGCAUACGAUCUACGGAUGAAAGCGGGGGAUCGCAAGACCUCGCGCGAAUGGAGCGGCCGAUGUCAGAUUAGGUAGUUGGUGGGGUAAAGGCUCACCAAGCCGACGAUCUGUAGCUGGUCUGAGAGGACGACCAGCCACACUGGGACUGAGACACGGCCCAGACUCCUACGGGAGGCAGCAGUGGGGAAUUUUGGACAAUGGGCGCAAGCCUGAUCCAGCCAUUCCGCGUGCAGGAUGAAGGCCUUCGGGUUGUAAACUGCUUUUGUACGGAACGAAACGGUUCUCUCUAAUACAGGGGGCUAAUGACGGUACCGUAAGAAUAAGCACCGGCUAACUACGUGCCAGCAGCCGCGGUAAUACGUAGGGUGCAAGCGUUAAUCGGAAUUACUGGGC
rnacentral:rRNA from 1 species